GCAGACGUAGCUCAGAUGGAGAUGAGCCACCGGUUUAAUUGGAUCGGGAGUAAGGGUCGCAGGUUCGAAUCCUGCCGUCUGCG
rnacentral:tRNA from 1 species